CACCAUUAAUAUGCCUCAAAUAGAAAAAAAUGAUGGAAAAAUGGGAAUAGGAAUUUCCAUCUAGUUCCACUUGGGAGCAACCAUAUCUUGAAAAUUCACCUAUGUUUUUUUUUUCGACAUUUCUAGUACUCACUCUUCUUGAUUCUACUUCAUCAUUAAGUUAUGAUGAAAUGGAUGCUUAUGGGAAUAACAUUAAGAGUGUCUUAACAAUUUUCAACUACCAAUUACUGGAAAAAUCAAUCUCCUUUCAUCAAAAAGUGAGUUUGUCAUCAUUCUCUCAACCCUACUCUCAAACAGAAGAAAUCAUAAAAUAUCAAGGUUGAGAACACUUCCGUUGAACAAAAU
rnacentral:lncRNA from 1 species